rnacentral:rRNA from 1 species
AUUGAACGCUGGCGGCAGGCCUAACACAUGCAAGUCGAGCGAGCGGCGGACGGGUGAGGAAUGGAUGGGGACUGGCAGAGAGGGGGGGGGAACUACUGGAAACGGUAGCUAAGACCGCAUACAAACGGAUAACGUAGAUGGGAUUAGCUAGUAGGUGAGGGAAUGGCUCACCUAGGCGACGGUCCCUAGCUGGUCUGAGAGGAUGAUCAGCCAAACUGGAACGGAGACACGGCCCAGACUCCUACGGAGGCAGCAGUGGGGAAUAUUGCACAAUGGGCGCAAGCCUGAUUCAGCCAUGCCGCGUGUAUGAAGAAGGCCUUAGGGUUGUAAAGUACUUUCAGUCGGGAGGCGUUACCGACAGAAGAAGCACCGGCUAACUCCGUGCCAGCAGCCGCGGUAAUUC